GACAGAGGGUGCAAACGUUGUUCGGAAUUACUGGGCGUAAAGCGUGUGUAGGCGGCCAGGUAAGUUGGAUGUGAAAGCCCGGGGCUCAACCCCGGAAGUGCAUUCAAAACUGCUUGGCUUGAGUAUCGGAGAGGUUGGUGGAAUUCUCGGUGUAGAGGUGAAAUUCGUAGAUAUCGAGAGGAACACCGGUGGCGAAGGCGGCCAACUGGACGAAUACUGACGCUGAGACACGAAAGCGUGGGGAGCAAACAGG
rnacentral:rRNA from 1 species